GACGAACGCUGGCGGUAUGCCUAACACAUGCAAGUCGAACGAGGUUCUUUCACCGCUUGGAUUCUGUCCAAGCACCGAAAGGAUUGCAGUGGCGGACGGGUGAGGAACACGUAAGAACUUACCUUUUGGCGGGGGAUAACAUCGGGAAACUGUUGCUAAUACCCCAUAAUGCUGAGGAGCGAAAGGGAAACUGCCAAAAGAGAGGCUUGCGUCUGAUUAGCUAGUUGGUGGAGGUAAAUGCUCCCCAAGGCGACGAUCAGUAGCUGGUCUGAGAGGGAUGAUCAGCCACACGUGGGACUGAGACGACCGGCCCAGACUCCGUACGGGUGGCUG
rnacentral:rRNA from 1 species